AGUCGCGAAUCGUAAACAUGUCUGUACGUAUGUACGUGCGUGUUCAUCAGUCUCAUCAAGGUUAUUCAAGGCCCAUUAGGCCCAUAGUCUCGAUCUGUGUGCAAACGCGUCAAGACGUGUUUCGUCCGGUAUAGAAUUUUGUGAAAAUUGACGAUGUAAUAUAUCAUCCGUGUGAUAGUGGGUUAAUAUAUACGAGUAAAAAGAAGAGGAAUAAACGUAUAUAUUUAGAGUAAUGGUCAUAUAGCCCCUGAUCAAAAGAGCUUGAACUAAUAUUGUCUGAACUGGUCAUCAAGGAAGCAAGUUACUAAUUACACAAGGAACAUUUUCCAAGGAAAAGGGAAAGGCUCUACCCAGGUCACCAAAGUCUAAUUAUAAAGAGCAUCUUCAAAUCAGAAGUAGUAGCUCUGUACGGAAUGCUCUGCAAAGAUUGAAAAAUCAAAGAGUUAAAAAAAAAUGGAGGAGAAUUGGUACAAUUGAUGAAAGGUCAGACACAGAGGAAGAAAUAGUUGAUGAUAAUCUAGAAGUACCUAAAAAAUGCGGUGCAGAAGAUAGAUAUCAAUAUGGAACUUGAAAAAGCUCGCAAAAGAAUUCAGAAACGAAUAAAGAAAGCACGGCACGAAAAAGAGACGGAGGCUCAUGUGCGUGAGAAUCCGGGAAUAAUAGAUAAAAAGUCGUUCAAGUUCUGUCGCCUCCAAUCAAUCUGCCACAUUUAGUCGUUCAAGCUCUGUCGCAUCUAACAAACCACUCGUCACAACAUCUCCAGUAUUGAAUGUGCAAAAAAUAUUGACUACGCCCUCAAUGGCAAAUGAAUCAAACUUGGAUCAAGAUAUAUCUUCAUCUUCGGCAGGUAAAUGUGUGCUUGUGCUAAAGACAGUUCUCUCUAAGUAAGAAGAACUGUCGCGGAAUCUUAAAAAUGUAGACCAUAAACUGGAUCUUAUUAUGGACCUUGUUAGAACUGCCGAAAAUGUAAAAAAACCAGAAGGAUGGCCUACUCUUCCAUUACAUGACAUGAAUUCUUUUUAUGAAUGGGAGUUGUUUUUCUCCAAAACGGCGACAACUAUGAUUUUGCGGUAUCCCAUUUUAGUGUUGUAGCUGGGAGAGGGGUACACGAAGGAGAAAUGACCACUAUAUGUAAGAAGAUUUUCUCUCCUGAGGUUGCAUCACAACUGAAUUGGACAAGGACAGAAAUAAAAAAUCAAGUCACUAAAGUGUGGUGCAUGUGGCAAACAAUAUAAAGGAAAUUUUUCGAGAUCAAAAGUCACAGGCUCCAUAAGUACGUGGCUUCGAAGUAAUUCAAAGAGGAGAGCCAUAAAUAAUUUUGAUUUGCCAAGAUAAUAAAGAUUUUUCAAAGGUCGAUUACCUCCCUUAGGUGACAAGAGGUAACAACGAAAGCGGGACUAUACACGAGUGGUUAUAACCAACAGAUGAGUCGAUAUUCGUACGGCUAUCCGUAGAUGCAGCGCAGAAGCAUUUUAUUUCAUUUUGUAUCGCAAAAGUUCGUAAAAAAAUCGAAAUAGAUUAUUUCCAAUUAUGUUCCAAUUAUAUUUGACAUGUGAGAAUGCUUGAGGAUUAUGAGCACAGUUCUUGGCCUGAGAGAGCGUUUUCUCUUCCGCAUAUCUCUUCGCCUCGCG